GUUUGAACAAUUUUUUGCGUUUUAGUUGAGAAACCAAUAUACGGAACAUUAGAGAACAAAAUGACGAAUUCUGGAAAAAUGCCGAAAAAGAAGACAAUGUUCAAAAAGAUUGGCAGUUUUUUGAAGAUGAGGCAAAAUGAAGAAGACAGGUUUUCGGGAAAAUCAUUGUUUUCCAUAGAAAAUGAAAAUCAUAUCGAAUAUGCGUCUGUUUCAAAUGAGGAUUACGAUAUGAACCCGGCAAUGGAUUUAAUCCAUGAGGAUCUUGCAAGAGCGAGUCUUCUUACCGACUUUAACACAAAAAUUGACGAAUUUGAGCACGGCUUCGUCAACCUGGGAUAUGUUGAGAAGAUGAACAACACCACCAAGUCAAAAAACUUAUCCGGAGAUUUUCAGCGUCCGCGUCUAAGUCGACAGAACGCGGUUGUUCAAGAACGAGAUUCAAACUCAGCUAUGGAAAAAAUAAAGACAAAGUCUUGUGACACUGAAACUUCUCCAGUUGCCAAGUCACCAUCAAGUAAUAUGAGUUCUGCAAAAGAAGAACGGAUUAUCAAAAUUGAUUAG
rnacentral:misc_RNA from 1 species